GACGAACGCUGGCGGCGUGCUUAACACAUGCAAGUCGAACGGAAAGGCCCUGCUUUUGUGGGGUGCUCGAGUGGCGAACGGGUGAGUAACACGUGAGUAACCUGCCCUUGACUUUGGGAUAACUUCAGGAAACUGGGGCUAAUACCGGAUAGGAGCUCCUGCUGCAUGGUGGGGGUUGGAAAGUUUCGGCGGUUGGGGAUGGUCUCGCGGCUUAUCAGCUUGUUGGUGGGGUAGUGGCUUACCAAGGCUUUGACGGGUAGCCGGCCUGAGAGGGUGACCGGCCACAUUGGGACUGAGAUACGGACCAGACUCCUACGGGAGGCAGCAGGGGGGAAUAUGGCACAAUGGGCGGAAGCCUGAUGCAGCAACGCCGCGUGCGGGAUGACGGCCUUCGGGGUGUAAACCGCUUUCGCCUGUGACGAAGCGUGAGUGACGGUAAUGGGUAAAGAAGCACCGGCUAACUACGUG
rnacentral:rRNA from 1 species